AUUGAACGCUAGCGGGAUGCCUUACACAUGCAAGUCGAACGGCAGCGCGGACUUCGGUCUGGCGGCGAGUGGCGAACGGGUGAGUAAUGUAUCGGAACGUGCCCAGUAGCGGGGGAUAACUACUCGAAAGAGUAGCUAAUACCGCAUACGCCCUACGGGGGAAAGGGGGGGAUCGCAAGACCUCUCACUAUUGGAGCGGCCGAUAUCGGAUUAGCUGGUUGGUGAGGUAAAGGCUCACCAAGGCGACGAUCCGUAGCUGGUUUGAGAGGACGACCAGCCACACUGGGACUGAGACACAGCCCAGACUCCUACGGGAGGCAGCAGUGGGGAAUUUUGGACAAUGGGGGAAACCCUGAUCCAGCCAUUCCGCGUGUGCGAUGAAGGCCUUCGGGUUGUAAAGCACUUUUGGCAGGAAAGAAAUCGCAUCAAUUAAUACUUGGUGUGGAUGACGGUACCUGCAGAAUAAGCACCGGCUAACUACGUGCCAGCAGCCGCCGUAA
rnacentral:rRNA from 1 species